UUUUGACCUGAGAUCAGACAAGACCACCCGCUGAACUUAAGCAUAUCUAUAAGCGGAGGAAAAGAAACUAACCAUGAUUCCCCUAGUAACGGCGAGUGAACGGGAAAAGCCCAACUUGAAAMUCUGCAGCCUUCGGCUGCCGAAUUGUAGUCUAUASAAGCGCUCUCUGUGCCGGAACGGCCCCAAGUUCCCUGGAAARGGACGUCCUASAAGGUKAGAACCCCGUAGGGCUCGGUUUGCSGGCACUCCACGAGACGCUUUCGCMGAAUCSGGUUGUUUGGGAAUGCMCCCUAAACARGUKGUUAAAUCCC
rnacentral:rRNA from 1 species